rnacentral:rRNA from 1 species
AUUGAACGCUGGCGGAAUGCUUUACACAUGCAAGUCGAACGGCAGCACGGGGCAACCUGGUGGCGAGUGGCGAACGGGUGAGUAAUACAUCGGAACGUGCCCAAUCGUGGGGGAUAACGUAGCGAAAGUUACGCUAAUACCGCAUACGAUCUACGGAUGAAAGCGGGGGAUCGCAAGACCUCGCGCGAUUGGAGCGGCCGAUGUCAGAUUAGGUAGUUGGUGGGGUAAAGGCUCACCAAGCCGACGAUCUGUAGCUGGUCUGAGAGGACGACCAGUCACACUGGGACUGAGACACGGCCCAGACUCCUACGGGAGGCAGCAGUGGGGAAUUUUGGACAAUGGGCGCAAGCCUGAUCCAGCCAUUCCGCGUGCAGGAUGAAGGCCUUC